rnacentral:lncRNA from 1 species
UGCCUCCCUGGAACGUCUAUCUCACCCAGGAUCACAAAUAUUCAAUGGGAAAACACCUUGCUUGGACCUGCCUCACGAACCCGGACCCCAGUCACAUGGCCUGUAUCUGGCCUCCCAGAUGUUCCGUCACGGGCCUAUAAAAAGAAUACUUAGAUGCGACAUUCUGCAGGCAAAAAUAUGGACUGCUAUCAACGGCAUAUUCUGCCGUUUCACAUCCAAUUCAUCUGAAGGGUCCACUCGUCCCUCCCUCUCUCGGGGACAGGAGGAAAAAAAGUUGCUUUCGCGCUUCCAAGAUUGCCGUAAUCUGCCCUGGAGAGAACAAAGGGGUAUGAGUUAUUGGCUCUGUUUUCUACUUGAGGCAACCGUAUCUCUGAGAGAUUAAACGGCUCACUGUGUCACCGGGCUCGAGGGGCCUCGGGAAGCAGAGCCAGCUCGUCACUCCCUCCCCGUCCUCCCCCGCCCCCCCCUCCACCGUCCUGCCCUGCCUGCUAAAGCACUUGUGCUGCCUUCUGUCGGCAGUCACGUCAUUUGGACCAAAUGCAGACCAACCCCUCAGGACGGUGAACAUCCAGGCAGCCUCCACGAUUCAGCUGAACGGGGUCAAGAUGAUUGAAGUUCGCUCGUGUCCAGUGAGGAUCCAAACAAAAGCAACAGCGAACGACAGCGCCUUCCAUCAUCCCGGCAGCAGAUGCUUCUGGGGAUGAGCGUGUGGGCAAGAGGUUGCCGCACGCCGGGUCUCCUCACCUUUGCUCGGAAAACCGGCCACUCUUACAAAGGCACACGCGUCCAGAUUCCCAGGGGGCAGUGACGAGAGCGCCCCACGCACUGGAAAGAAUGAACGUCCUUGAGGUCGCCUCCGCCCCCUCCCUGCUUUGCGGCAAAGAGCACACCCACCCUUCGAGGCUGGCUGGCAGUCACCUCCAUCCCGCGAAGAUGCUGGUCAGUAUCCAAAUGACCCCUCUACUUGGAAGCCCUCAGCUCGGCUCAGCCUGGAGACCGUUGCUAUGUGUGGGGAAGGCUUCUCCCCCAAGCGCUGAAUGCAAGAGCAGGAGGCGAAUGUGCCGUGCCAGGGGACGUCCCCGUGGAGCUGGCUUUUGGAUUAUUGAAAAGGGAACAACAGUGCAUCUGGCCAGGACUGAAACCUUCCGAAAGAGAGCCGGAGAAGUUGCGGGGUGGGGAAAAGGCAGGCCCUUCUGGAAUAAAAGGAAGGGUAGCAGUGUCCAAGUUGGGUGUUCGAGGGUCUCCUCUGAACCGAGAGAGCCGGAUUUCGAAGCCUGCCUUUGUAAUACUGAGCAGUGAUGGAGAGGAAGGAGGAAGCCUAGGGCUGGAGCUUCCAGGGCCCAGGUCACAGGAGCACAGACAAAGACGCUCUCCUGACCUCUGUCACCCUGCACCCAGCUCCGCUCUCUGGGCCGGACUUGCCCACAAAGCUCCCGGGAACAGAAGCGCGUCAAGUGGAGGAAAAUCCUUCCUGUCCUCUGGCCUUGUGCUCAGACAGGCAGCCCCAAGGACCCCCCACCCUGCUGCAGUGCCCAGAGAUGGGUGAGGAUCCCACCCACCCAGACGGAGCCCUUCCCCUGGGCCCGGGGAGCUCAGGCUGGCAGGCAGAGUCCAGCAGCUAAGCUGUUCCUGGGCUGCCUUAGCCAGAAGAAAGCUUGGUCUGCUCAAGAUGGCUCUCCACCCCCCAGCCCUCCGAUGCGCCGAUCCCUGCGGCCCCAUCCCCGUCACCCUGUUCUCACUCACAGCCUUACAGCUACCCCCCCCCUCCCACUUGUGAGGGCACUUAGCCCAGGCAGAAGCCGCAAGCAAAGAUCACUCGGACCGCAAAGGCCUCGCAACACUCACUGUCUCCGUUAUCAAAGCUGCCCUGGGUCCAUUCUCUGAGCUGGAGCAGCUUAAAAAAAUAAAUCUGUGCCAGUGAGUUAAUAGAACUCCUCC